AAAAAAAAAAAAAAAAUCCCCUGCUUUCCUCGUCACAGCACAGGGGGGCACGUCUGGGACUCAGGGCCUUGGAGUCGAAAGCUACUGAGCACUGGCUGCGCCACAGAGAAUCUCUGGCUGUUGGAGAUGUGAGGGACCCAGCAGGAAAGGCCCAAAGAAGACAAAGGAUAGAGGUGCAGUCUCUACAGAGGAGCCCAGGCACGUGGGAGGCUGGCAGGAGGAGCAUUGAUGGCUCUGAGCUCCUUCAGCCCCAGAGAUCUGAGCCACUCCUUUGGGGGGACAUUUCAGAUCCAAACCAGAAUACAGUGCUUGGAGGAGGCUUGUCUCGGAAAUCAGGAGAGAGCCGUCUUGUUGGAACCCAAUGGCAAGUCAGAAGGAGACACAACCCAAUCACUUGGUGUCUGUGUCUGGCUGUUGAGCUGAGUCACCCUCGGUCUGAUCUUGUGGGGACAGGAGUUUGUGUUUGACUUGGGACCAAGGCCGCCGGUGGUCCUUAGCAACAGGAGGAGGAGCCAGUGAUGUGCAAGGCAGAGCUUGAUGCCAUCCCCUUCUUAGUGCCACGGUGGAGCACUUCUGUCCCUGGAGAGUAGGUCUGGGGUCUGGCUGGAACACUAACAAUGCUCCGGUGCGGAGCUGGUCAUUAAUUAAGCCCCAUUGUUCCACUCUCACACUGCUAGGGAGAGAAACUAUUUCCUCCCUUGCCUGAACUCACUCAGACUCUCUUCUGUACAAUUAACUAAAAUAAAAACCGCUUUCAGCAUUAAA